rnacentral:rRNA from 1 species
AACGAACGCUGGCGGCAUGCCUAACACAUGCAAGUCGAACGAGACGUUCGGGUCUAGUGGCGCAGGGCUGCGUGACACGGGGGAACCUGCACUUAGGUUCGGAAUCCCUCACCGAGAGGGGUGCUAAUGCCAGAGAAUCUCUUAGGACCAAAGAUUUAUCGCCUUUGGAUGGGCGCGGGUUGGAUUCGCUGGUUGGUAGGGGAAAAGCCUACCAAGGCGACGAUCCAGAGCUGGUCGGAGAGGAGGAUCAGCCACGCUGGGGCUGAGACACGGCCCAGACUCCUACGGGAGGCAGCAGUGGGGAAUAUUGGACGAGGGGCGAAAGCCUGAUCCAGCAACGCCGCGUGAGAGAUGAAGGCCUUAGGGUUGUAAAGCUCUCUUACCCGAGAUGAUAAUGACAGUACCGGGAGAAUAAGCACCGGCUAACUCCGUG